rnacentral:rRNA from 1 species
UGGGGAAUAUUGCACAAUGGGCGCAAGCCUGAUGCAGCCAUGCCGCGUGUAUGAAGAAGGCCUUCGGGUUGUAAAGUACUUUCAGCGGGGAGGAAGGGAGUAAAGUUAAUACCUUUGCUCAUUGACGUUACCCGCAGAAGAAGCACCGGCUAACUCCGUGCCAGCAGCCGCGGUAAUACGGAGGGUGCAAGCGUUAAUCGGAAUUACUGGGCGUAAAGCGCACGCAGGCGGUUUGUUAAGUCAGAUGUGAAAUCCCCGGGCUCAACCUGGGAACUGCAUUCGAAACUGGCAGGCUAGGGUCUUGUAGAGGGGGGUAGAAUUCCAGGUGUAGCGGUGAAAUGCGUAGAAAUCUGGAGGAAUACCGGUGGCGAAGGCGGCCCCCUAGACAAAGACUGACGCUCAGGUGCGAAAGCGUGGGGAGCAAACAGG